rnacentral:rRNA from 1 species
GACGAACGCUGGCGGCGUGCUUAAUACAUGCAAGUCGAACGAAAAGGACAAGCUUUUGUGGGGUGAUCGAGUGGCGAAGGGGGGAGUAACACGUGAGUAACCUGCACUUGACUUUGGGAUAACUUCAGGAAACUGGGGCUAAUACCGGAUAGGAGGUCGUGCUGCAUGGUGGGGGAUGGAAAGUUUCGGCGGUUGGGGAUGGACUCGCGGCUUAUCAGCUUGUUGGUGGGGUAGUGGCUUACCAAGGCUUUGACGGGUAGCCGGCCUGAGAGGGUGACCGGCCACAUUGGGACUGAGAUACGGCCCAGACUCCUACGGGAGGCAGCAGUGGGGAAUAUUGCACAAUGGGCGGAAGCCUGAUGCAGCAGCGCCGCGUGCGGGAUGACGUCCUUCGGGUUGUAAACCGCUUACGCCUGUGACGAAGCGUGAGUGACGGUAAUGGGUAAAGAAGCACCGGCUAACUACGUG